AUUGAACGCUGGCGGCAGGCCUAACACAUGCAAGUCGAACGGUAACAGGAAGAAGCUUGCUUCUUUGCUGACGAGUGGCGGACGGGUGAGUAAUGUCUGGGAAACUGCCUGAUGGAGGGGGAUAACUACUGGAAACGGUAGCUAAUACCGCAUAACGUCGAAAGACCAAAGAGGGGGACCUUCGGGCCUCUUGCCAUCGGAUGUGCCCAGAUGGGAUUAGCUAGUAGGUGGGGUAACGGCUCACCUAGGCGACGAUCCCUAGCUGGUCUGAGAGGAUGACCAGCCACACUGGAACUGAGACACGGUCCAGACUCCUACGGGAGGCAGCAGUGGGGAAUAUUGCACAAUGGGCGCAAGCCUGAUGCAGCCAUGCCGCGUGUAUGAAGAAGGCCUUCGGGUUGUAAAGUACUUUCAGCGGGGAGGAAGGGAGUAAAGUUAAUACCUUUGCUCAUUGACGUUACCCGCAGAAGAAGCACCGGCUAACUCCGUG
rnacentral:rRNA from 1 species